rnacentral:rRNA from 1 species
UACGUAGGGUGCAAGCGUUAAUCGGAAUUACUGGGCGUAAAGCGUGCGCAGGCGGUUGUGCAAGACCGAUGUGAAAUCCCCGGGCGUUAACCUGGGAAUGGCAUUGGUGACUGCACGGCUAGAGUGUGUCAGAGGGGGGUAGAAUUCCACGUGUAGCAGUGAAAUGCGUAGAGAUGUGGAGGAAUGACCGAUGGCGAAGGCAGCCCCCUGGGAUAACACUGACGCUCAUGCACGAAAGCGUGGGGAGCAAACAGG